UUUUUCUCUGAGCUUAAAGAAAAUUGAGAUUUAAGAAAUAAAAUAAAGUAAGACUUAUUCUUAUCCUCAGUUAAUUCACUCUCCGUUCCAAACAUGGUAAAUAACUUACUUAACCAUCCUUACACUUAUCCAACCAAACCCUUAGUCUACCUCCACCUAUUCCUGCCAGAUCCUAAAUCCAUUACAUUACUAAGCACUUGUGCCAAAUUCGAAACUAAGAUAACAUAAUUAACUUCUUAAUCCUUCUGAUUUUUUUUUGUUCUAACCCAAAAAAUGGAUUAAAAUAUUUAAAUUGUUGUUAUUAGAAUAGCCCAAUUUCAUUUAACCUAUCAACGCCUCCCUAGCUUACAAACCUCAAAUACAGAAAUUUUUUUCCCCACCUUGAAACUCUAAAAAGGGGGAAAAAUAAAGGGUGUCUCAAUUAAUGAGGCAAACAAAAAGAAAAAAUGCCCUUGGGCACAUUCCAAUCCAGGGCUUAUCACAAUCCACUGAACUAAAAUUUGGUUCUGGCUCUUCAUAACCUUAAUAGACCUCUUGCCUUGAAAAUCCUCCUAUCACAAGUUUUUGAAAGCAGACUCAUGUUGACGUUUCUUUGGAGUCAAUCUAGCCAGCAAUGCUUUGUUAUGACAAUGCUCUGUGUCAACAAAGUAGAAAUUCCCAUUGGCCUUAAAUGUCACGAAAGGCCUAUUAGUCUCUGGUGGCCGAAUAUCAGCAAACUUAAUAGUCUUCGGAAUGUAUGUCGCUAACCAGGACAUCAUCUCCACCUCAAAACUGUCUGAGCCAGGAUGCCAUCUAAGCUUGUGAAUAUAGGGGCUAACGAACCAAUGAAGGGCAGCAGUUGUUGAGGCACUCAAGAAUAUCACUGAAGACGCAACUGCACCCUUCAAGAUGACGUUCAUAUCUGGAGAUGUCAUAAAGGUUAUGACAGGACCCAAGGAUACAGAGAGACAGCAUGUUGAAAGAGACAAUAGUUUUACUUUCUUGAUGGUCGAUGAGAUCGGACCAUAAUAAACCACCCCAGUCUCUUUCUCAUCCUCUCCAGCUUCUUUCCCAUUGCGUGGUCCAAUGCUGAUCCUACUUUCAUCUUCUGUUGUCCUAGCUUGAGAUGCCCAUCUUUUCUGAGAAGCCGCAAUCUGGAUAGGACUACUAAAGUCACGUUUGGCACUCCAAAUGUGAGACCUUGUGCCAAACCUACAAGGAUGGUAGCCUGAGAAGACGGUACUUGUGGAUGCGAGGGUUUUGGUUUGAGAUCGAAGCAAGUGGAGAAGGGCCGCUCUAGCCAUUGCUCUUUUCAGUUUCAG
rnacentral:misc_RNA from 1 species